rnacentral:rRNA from 1 species
UACGAAGGGGGCUAGCGUUGCUCGGAAUCACUGGGCGUAAAGGGUGCGUAGGCGGGUCUUUAAGUCAGGGGUGAAAUCCUGGAGCUCAACUCCAGAACUGCCUUUGAUACUGAGGAUCUUGAGUUCGGGAGAGGUGAGUGGAACUGCGAGUGUAGAGGUGAAAUUCGUAGAUAUUCGGAAGAACACCAGUGGCGAAGGCGGCUCACUGGCCCGAUACUGACGCUGAGGAGCGAAAGCGUGGGGAGCGAACAGG